AUGCACACAGCACAGUCCCCAAGUUUGUUUUUGCAUCCGCAGUUUCUAUGCCUUACCUGCAUUUGCUCUGCAUGUGUUAUAGCAAUGUGGAUCUGCAGCACUGUGAGCGAUUCACAAAUGAGAUUGCAGUCUCUGCUCUCUCUCUGCUCUCUCUCUCGCUCGCUCUCUCUCUCUCUCUCUCUCUCUCUCGCUCUCCCUCUCUCUCUCUCUCUCUCUCCCCUCUCUCUCGCCUUCUCCUCCUCCUUUUCUUCUUGCUCCUCCUCCCUCCUCUUCCUCUUUCCUUCUCCCACUCUUUCCCUCUCCUUCCUUCCUGUCCCAAUGCGGGUAACUAGAUAUGAAUUGAGCCUCUCAGUUCAAAGAAGUCUGGUUCCGGCGCUCUCACAGCAAAGCUGCUUGUGGCUUUAAAAUGUUGAAUGGCAACUGAGAAGCUCCCGCUCAGAAUAAGCCGUAAACCAGCAAGUUUGCCCGAAGUGGUGGGAGCUGCUGGAACCUCACUCUCACAGGCUCUUCCCUGACGCAGCACCAGCAGCAGCAGUAGAGCUAGCUGCCCGAAGUACAUAGACUGAGACAGGGAGGGAAGAGAGGACGAGCCAACCGCUGCACUCCAGAAAGAACAGUCUUACCCUUUGCCUCUGCCUCUGCUGCUGCUUGUAGUGCUGUAAGUGGAGAUCACAAAACACCAGCCAGUCCUCCUAAAGCCAAGCCAUAUCACACUACAAUGAGUCUUGCUACUGCACUUGCCAACCCGUCAUCUCCGCAGUGACUUUUCUCCCCAACCUAUAUUGGUAAAUUUCUUCCUUCCACUGACAAAUGUGGGUGUGUGUGUGUGUGUGUGUGUGUGUGUGUGUGUGUGUGUGUGUGUGCUCGCGCGUGUAUGUGUGUGGGCGUGUGUAUUUAAUGAAACCUAUUUCGUUGCUCCUUUCCCUUUCUCUCCCACUUCCCUCUCUCCUCUCUGUUUUUGAACGAAUUCCCUUGGAAUUGUCGCCAUUUAGGGAAUCAUCCUGUGGCAAGUGUAUCAUGACCGGUGGUCCGGAGACCAGGCACGCGCCCGCUCUGCUGAUCUAGUGUUCUGAGGAACCAUGAUAAGCUGCAGUGGUGUAAGAGAGAGACCCUCAAACUCUGAUGAUAGGCAAAGGGAGGGAUCCUCUUUGGGGAGGGCAGACUUUUAGAGUUUCCAAAUACGGGGAUGUUUUUUGGGGGGAGAAGGGUCAUCAACCUUCAUUUUCUUUAUGUGGCAUUCGGGUCAUUUUGCAUGCCUGGCGGGUGGGGGGGAACGCUCAAAAUACUCCGUGUGUAUUUCUGAGGCAUAAACACAUGUAAAUCAGGAAGCUGCAGCCUUUAGCAGUGGACAAAAUGUAGCGUUACCUAUAUGGAUGAAAGGAAAAUAAACUUUAAUGGCAACUUUGUCUAUCUAGUGUC
rnacentral:lncRNA from 1 species